UACGUAGGGGGCAAGCGUUGUCCGGAAUCAUUGGGCGUAAAGCGCGCGUAGGCGGCCCUGUAAGUCCGUUGUGAAAGUCGAAGGCUCAACCUUCGAAAGCCGAUGGAUACUGCAGGGCUAGAGUCCGGAAGAGGCGAGUGGAAUUCCUGGUGUAGCGGUGGAAUGCGCAGAUAUCAGGAAGAACACCCGUGGCGAAGGCGGCUCUCUGGGACGGUACUGACGCUGAGACGCGAAAGCGUGGGGAGCGAACAGG
rnacentral:rRNA from 1 species